rnacentral:lncRNA from 1 species
CUCAGAACUUUAGACUAGUGAAUAGAGCAACAUAACUGAACCCAUUACCCACCAGCAUUUUCUAUGGCCUAGGUGUUUUGCUGAGACAAAGACUGAGAGGAGCAGAGAAAGAUGGUGUUGAGAAUCUGGGCUGCUGCACUACAGUCUGACUCUGCCACUGACUCACUGUGGGCCUCAGGUCCUGCUACAUUUGUGCCUGGCUCUGCCAGGCUCACUCCUGCCAAGCAUUGCUGUGUCAGAGCAGAGGCUGGAGCAGGCACCAGGAGGAGGCACUGCAUCACCCAAGCCUGGGGGACCAAGGGUUAUGUCACACCCCACUGCAGGUGGAACACCCUGCAUGGACAAGGUCUGUUUUCCUUCAGCACAUUUGUGCAGGCAGCAUCUAUGCCAGUGAGACGACACCCUCAGCCUCCACCUACAGCAAUAUUCCUGCCUGUGGCCCUGGUACUGUUCAUCGUCAUCGGAUAUUUGUAAUGCAUUCUCCAUGUGGUUCCAAGCCUCUCUUAUGCCAGGCCUGGUGCUCCCAGGGACCAGCCCUGACAUAUAUGAGACAAUGAGUCCCCUUCUUUGAAUUCUCUGCACAUUUUUCAGCCUAAUUGAUAAGAUUUCUUUGUUGAUCUUGGUGGCUGUGAACAUACAUCAUUACUGCUCCUGGUCAAUUAGAGUUAAAAGAAAACCCCAGUGAUUAGUCAUAAUGUCAGAGGGAAGGAAAUAAAUAUUUACUACAUAAAAGCA